rnacentral:rRNA from 1 species
UACGUAGGGGGCAAGCGUUGUCCGGAGUUACUGGGCGUAAAGCGCACGCAGGCGGUCAACCAAGUUUGGAGUGACAGUUGUCGGCUUAACCGACAAAGUGCUUCGAAAACUGGCUGACUUGAGGGCUUCAGAGGGACACGGAAUUCCGGGUGGAGUGGUGAAAUGCGUAGAGAUCCGGAGGAACACCGAAGGCGAAGGCAGUGUCCUGGGGAGUACCUGACGCUCAGGUGCGAAAGCCAGGGGAGCGAACGGG